rnacentral:rRNA from 1 species
AGUCUGACCUGCCCAAUGAUGAUUUAAAUGGCUGCAGUAUCCUAACUGUACAAAGGUAGCAUAAUAAUUUGUUUUAUAAUUGAAGAAUGGAAUGAAUGGUUUGACGAGGGUGUAGCUGUCUCUUAUAUAUUUGUUUGAAGUUAAUUUUUAGGUUAAAAGGCUUAAAUUAAAUUAAAGGACGAGAAGACCCUAUUGAGCUUAAAUUAAUAAUGAUGUUAGUAAAAAAUGAUUGAGAUUAAUUAUAGAAUUAGUGUAGUUUUAGUUGGGGCGACUAAGGGAUAAAUGAAGCUCCCUUUAAUAUUUCAUAAAGUUGUUUAUUGAUCCAAUUUUUUUGAAUUAAAAUCAAGUUACCAUAGGGAUAACAGCGUUAUCUUUUUUGAGAGUUCUAAUCGAAAAAUGGGAUUGCGACCUCGAUGUUGGAUUAAGAUUUAAUAAAGGUUGUAGAAGCUUUUAUGAUUAGUCUGUUCGA